CUAAGUAAUUGCUUCAUUUUAUACUCUGCAAUCUUUAAAGAAACUCCUUAAAGGAAAACCUAAGAGUCAAAAAAAAAAAAAAAAAAGGAAGAUGAAAAAAGACUUAACUCAGAUUGCUUUUUUGCUUUGAUGUACUGCAAUCUCUGGGGUAGAUAAGACAGUAAGAGCACAUGGAAAGGCUCCAGGCCACAGAGAAUACAGACAAUGUGAAAGCAAGAGGGCACGUGGGCUGCACCCUCUCUCUGAGCGAUGCCAAGGCCAGGCAACAGCCUACCUGCACCUAGCAUCACACAAAGGCACUACAGGAGCCUAAUGACACUAUUUAUGGGGAUUUCUUUUUAAUUAAUUAUUUUUUUUUUAAGAUAAGGAACAAGCAGUGAGAUUUAUGAAGCAUGGUAGUGUCUUACGUUGUAUUUCAACUAAAUGAACAAUGGUUGCAAGGAAGUUAUGAGUUGAUGCUUACUUUAAGGGGCUAUACUGUAAACUUGAAUGACAUUGACUUGCUCCCACCAAAGGCAUAAAUCUGAGUGAAGGCCAUAUUUCAGAAAAGAAACCUGUAAGAGUUACUGUGGCUUGCAGACAAUAGGUAUUGGAGAGAGAUAUUCCAGAGUAUCACAUCCGAGGUGAUCACCCCUGAAUCCUCCAGCUUACCCGCUGUUUGUUUAAGCUAAUCGGCCAGGAGGCCCCAGGCAGCCUUGCCCAGGUGAUCUGCCUUUGUCCUUUCUUUUCUUCUUGUCUUGAACUUUUCACUACUUGCCACAGUAAGAGGGUUUUUUGGUGAGCCUUUUCUACUUUAAACUCAAAGAGUGAAGUUAGGUUCCUACACGAACAGAGUACAGCUCGUGUAGUCAGCGUAUGAGAACUGACAACCGCGCCACUCUGAAAUCAGGCAUGCAGAAGCCUGGCAGGGCAACUGAGGAAAUGGAGCACGAGGCAGAAGGAAAACGAAAUGCUCAGACACAAGCAUACGUUGCCAAUCUGGUAAUAGAGACGUGAGCAUUAUUAAUUUGGUGUUGAAGAAGAUUUGCCAGUGUGCUAACAUAUCCUCCAGCUUCAGAAGCAGGCAGAAAGGACACAGCUCAGCUAAAGAGCAGAGAUAGUUGUGCUGUACUGUUUCAGCACAAUAUUACGCAUGGACGUAAACACAGAUCUGGGAUAUCUACCUCACAAAAUAACAGCAUUAUAGAUCUAUGAAAGACAAAAUAAUGCACAGAGUUGCAUUACUCAUGGCGCUAUCACUGAAUACUAAAAGUUCAUCUACUAUACACUGAGGACUCAGCAGAUGUUGAGUGAUUAUAUUAGAGAUUAUUCUUUGACCAUUUAAAUUACUGUAAGAAGCUUUAAAAGACGACCAGAGAUGUCUUUUUGAUAGUCCUUCAAAGAUGUGCAUUGUUGGUAUUGUAUUUAUUACGGAUUAAAACCAGAUUUUAAAUUACUUUGAUUUUGUUUAUAACUUUUGGCAAUACUCUGAUUAAAAAAAUAUUUUCAAAAUCACCCACUACUAAAAAUUGCAUUUACAUCUAAGCUGCUUUUCAAGCUACUAAGAUGAUAUGACUCAGACAUCCCUUUUUUGUUAUAGUUCUCACCUAACCUCCACGUUCUCCACAUUGGCAAUCCCACAGAAGGUCAAACUGUGUGAAAUAUAUCACACAUAAGAAGAGCUUAGUAUUAGAUAGAACAAGCAUAUUUUCUCAGCUAUCUAAGGGAAUUAUUACUUAGCGGAUAGCAACAGCUGAAAUGUCUCUAAUGAACAGCUUGAAAGAAGGAAACUGUCAAGCAACUGAGUUUUGUCCUCUUGUUUUUUAGAAUAAAGUGGAGGGAAAAUUGAUACUCUUCUUUAUC
ensembl:lncRNA